AGGCAUAGUUUAAUGGUAAAACAAUAGCUUCCCAAGCUGUAGUUGCGGGUUCGAUUCCCGUUGCCUG
rnacentral:tRNA from 1 species